GAGUCCUUUGGGGGAAUCAGUCGCCUUGAUUCUCUAAAUAGUUUUUAUCUCAGUGUAGGUGGAGUUGGGCUCACAAGGCUUAUUCAGGUCAGAUGGCUUUGAAAAGCAUUAGUGACCUGAGGAAGGGUUCAGCAGUUUGCUGUUUUGGCCCAAACCUACUUUUCCACAGGGAAAGGAGACAAAAUGUUACAGCCUUCUGAUUACAUACUUGGUCUUUGGUUGGACAGCCUCCAUACUCAAGCUGUCGAGGAGUCGCCACAUUCUUACAACAGUAUUCCCAUCUUUAAGGAAAUUUCAAGCAGUUUGAAACUCCUUGUCAUAAGCUCAAGAGAGUGGGGAGAGCACACUUGUGCCAUGGUGCAUUCAUGAAGGCCAGAAUACCUGCAAGAGUCUCUUGUUCUACCAUGGGUGUUUCAGUGAUUGAACCCAGAUCUUCAGGCUUAGCAGUAAGGGACUUUAUCCAAUGAGCCAUCUGACUGACCUUGCCCAAAUGUUUGUGUAUUGUUUUCGAUCUACUG